rnacentral:rRNA from 1 species
GUCUAAUACCGGAUACGAGCUGCGACCGCAUGGUCAGUAGCUGGAAAGAAUUUCGGUCAGGGAUGAGCUCGCGGCCUAUCAGCUUGUUGGUGAGGUAAUGGCUCACCAAGGCGUCGACGGGUAGCCGGCCUGAGAGGGUGACCGGCCACACUGGGACUGAGACACGGCCCAGACUCCUACGGGAGGCAGCAGUGGGGAAUAUUGCACAAUGGGCGAAAGCCUGAUGCAGCAACGCCGCGUGAGGGAUGACGGCCUUCGGGUUGUAAACCUCUUUUAGCAGGGAAGAAGCGAAAGUGACGGUACCUGCAGAAAAAGCGCCGGCUAACUACGUGCCAGCAGCCGCGGUAAUACGUAGGGCGCAAGCGUUAUCCGGAAUUAUUGGGCGUAAAGAGCUCGUAGGCGGUCUGUCGCGUCUGCUGUGAAAACCCGAGGCUCAACCUCGGGCCUGCAGUGGGUACGGGCAGACUAGAGUGCGGUAGGGGAGAUUGGAAUUCCUGGUGUAGCGGUGGAAUGCGCAGAUAUCAGGAGGAACACCGAUGGCGAAGGCAGAUCUCUGGGCCGUAACUGACGCUGAGGAGCGAAAGGGUGGGGAGCAAACAGGCUUAGAUACCCUGGUAGUCCACCCCGUAAACGUUGGGAACUAGUUGUGGGGUCCAUUCCACGGAUUCCGUGACGCAGCUAACGCAUUAAGUUCCCCGCCUGGGGAGUACGGCCGCAAGGCUAAAACUCAAAGGGAAUUGACGGGGACCCGCACAAGCGGCGGAGCAUGCGGAUUAAUUCGAUGCAACGCGAAGAACCUUACCAAGGCUUGACAUAUAGAG